GGUUCCAUAGCUCACUGACGAGAGCGCACACCUCAUAAGUGUCGAGGGCAGGGAUUGUAACCCUGGGGAACCACCA
rnacentral:tRNA from 8 species